CCAGUUUCGCGUGAUGUACAUAACCCAUUACUAAUGUAGAAGGGAGCACGUACUGUCAUUUCAACAAUUUUAAAAUGUAUGGACGCAUUUUUGCAACAUUGGCCUUCAUUGGUACUAUCAAAGGGCAAAUAAUAUUGGAUCCUUCAAAUUGUCCGAACCUCUUGGCUAAUCUCGCCCAGUGUGGCCAAAAAUAUCCCGUAGUAGAUUCAGCGGAUGCUUUACAGGCCCUUUCUUUUUACAAACAGAGUCCAAGUAUAUGCAAAAAAAUGUCAGAAUACAAGCAACUGAUCACUUGUCAUGUGGACCUCGCAAUGAAUUGCUCGCAGGAUGACGAUAAAAAGUUAUCAGCACCAACAAAGGCAUAUAUCGAAGCGUUUGAUGAUUUCUGUAAAAAUAUAAACGCCUUUAAUUCUUCGUGUUAUCAAGACAGUACUACAGAACUUGGGCUAUGUGUCAGUAAAAAUAUUGAAAGCCACCAACUACCAACAAAUUCUAGUUUUGAUGACAAGAAAGCAUUUGUAUGCAAAGGACACGAAAUAAGUAUUGAUUGCCUGUCUAAUAACAUGGUACUGAAGACAUGUCCCGGAACCCGUGACAUACUUCUCAAGUACGCUGAAACAUUGAAACCACAAGCUUGUGGGGCCAUGAUGAUUAUUUCAAGUAUCCUGUUACUCAUAUUAUCUAUGAUGUUAUUUGUAUCUGCUGUCUAUUAACUAACUUUAUAAUAACUUCUGAAAUGUUAUAGUAUCAUGAUGUUAUUUGUAUCUACUGUCUAUUUACUAACAUUAUAAUAACUUCUGAAAUGUUAUAGUAUCAUGAUGUUAUUUGUAUCUACUGUCUUUUUAACUUUAUAAUAACUUCUGAAAUGUUAUAGUAUCAUGAUGUUAUUUGGAUCUAUUGCAUAUUAACUGGUUUUAAAAUGAUUUCUGAAAUGUUACUCAUACUUUCUGUGUAGAAUAAAGCACAAGACUGUGGUUAUGCUGGAGAAAGAAAGGCUGAAGAAAAUAACCCGAGAAAAACCGAGGCCGGCGGGGCGAGGAUUUUGUUUCGAGGUUUUUUCUGAAGUCUUUCUUUCCCAGCAUAACCGAAGUCGAGGACUUUAUCUUGCUUAUAAACCGUCUAUGUUUACAUGUACGUGAAAUGAGAAUAUCCCAGAAUUCCAGUAAGAAAAACCUUAUUUCAUGUUUUCUAACGGAAAAUAAAAACCUACCCCGGAAAAAUAACCCGUUACAGGUUUAAAGAAAAACUUUUAGAAGAAUAACCCCAAAUUCCAUUGUAUAUAUUCAAAGUCACCCUGCUGUUUAGAUCGCAAAUUAUUCCGGCAUAGAAUAUACCCUAAAGAUCAAGGAGAUUUACCGUUAUAUGUUUGUAGGUAUUGUUAUCUGUAUCUAUUUCUAAUUAAAAAUAACUUAUGAAAAUGUUACAUGACUAUUCAUGAUUAGUAUCUGCUUCAUAUUAAUUGGUUUAAACAAUAAGUUCUGAAAUGUUACUCAUAUUAUCUGUGAUGUUAGUAGUAUCUACAACAUAUUAAAAAUAACUUAUGAAAAUGUCUAUAGUUUAAAAUUAAUAGUUU